AGUGAACGCUGGCGGUAGGCCUAACACAUGCAAGUCGAACGGCAGCACAGUAAGAGCUUGCUCUUACGGGUGGCGAGUGGCGGACGGGUGAGGAAUACAUCGGAAUCUACUUUUUCGUGGGGGAUAACGUAGGGAAACUUACGCUAAUACCGCCUACGACCUACGGGUGAAAGCAGGGGAUCUUCGGACCUUGCGCGAUUGAAUGAGCCGAUGUCGGAUUAGCUAGUUGGCGGGGUAAAGGCCCACCAAGGCGACGAUCCGUAGCUGAUCUGAGAGGAUGAUCAGCCACACUGGAACUGAGACACGGUCCAGACUCCUACGGGAGGCAGCAGUGGGGAAUAUUGGACAAUGGGCGCAAGCCUGAUCCAGCCAUACCGCGUGGGUGAAGAAGGCCUUCGGGUUGUAAAGCCCUUUUGUUGGGAAAGAAAAGCAGCAGGUUAAUACCCCGCUGUUCUGACGGUACCCAAAGAAUAAGCACCGGCUAACUUCGUG
rnacentral:rRNA from 1 species